rnacentral:misc_RNA from 1 species
AAGUCGUAACAAGGUUUCCGUAGGUGAACCUGCGGAAGGAUCAUUAACACGUAUCCAACGUUAAAACCCCCCCGUGAACCUUCAGUGUGCUCGUACGCUUUGUUAGAAAGUAGCAAUCCCUGGUAAAUCAUCGCCGAACAGUUUUGAUUCAGGGACUUCUGCGAAGAGUGUGCUUGUAGCGCGAGGCAAGUGGCCUGGCAUCCUUGUCUGAAAGUGUCAAGGGUGGCGCAGUCACGAUCGCUAGAGGCCGACACGGCCGGCGACCGGGUCAGUGAGCUCUGCUCCCGCUGUUACGUCAAAACCCCAAGUUCCCCUCUAGUGAAAGCUAUUGGGUUAUAACUAAACGACUGUUAACAAUGGAUAUCUCGAUUCUC